rnacentral:rRNA from 1 species
CACGUAGGGGGCAAGCGUUGUCCGGAUUUAUUGGGCGUAAAGAGCUCGUAGGCGGCUCAGUAAGUCAGGUGUGAAACCUCCAGGCUCAACCUGGAGACGCCACCUGAUACUGCUGUGGCUAGAGUCCGGUAGGGGAGCGUGGAAUUCCUGGUGUAGCGGUGAAAUGCGCAGAUAUCAGGAAGAACACCCGUGGCGAAGGCGGCUCUCUGGGACGGUACUGGACGCUGAGACGCGAAAAGCCGUGGGGAGCGAACAGG